ACGCACGCUGGCCGCGUGCUUCACCCAUGCAAGUCGCACGGAAAGGCCCUGCUUUUGUGGGGUGCUCGAGUGGCGAACGGGUGAGUAACACGUGAGCAACCUGCCCUUGACUUUGGGAUAACUUCAGGAAACUGGGGCUAAUACCGGAUAGGAGCCCCUGCUGCAUGGUGGGGGCUGGAAAGUUUCGGCGGUUGGGGAUGGACUCGCGGCUUAUCAGCUUGUUGGUGGGGUAGUGGCUUACCAAGGCUUUGACGGGUAGCCGGCCUGAGAGGGUGACCGGCCACAUUGGGACUGAGAUACGGCCCAGACUCCUACGGGAGGCAGCAGUGGAGAAUAUUGCACAAUGGGCGGAAGCCUGAUGCAGCAGCGCCGCGUGCGGGAUGACGGCCUUCGGGUUGGAAACCGCUUUCGCCUGUGACGAAGCGUGAGUGACGGUAAUGGGUAAAGAAGCACCGGCUAACUACGUG
rnacentral:rRNA from 1 species